AGAGUUUGAUCCUGGCUCAGGAUGAACGCUGGCGGUAUGCUUAACACAUGCAAGUCGAACGGAGUUCCUUCGGGGACUUAGUGGCGGACGGGUGAGUAACACGUGAGAACCUACCCUUAGGAUGGGGACAACAGUUGGAAACGACUGCUAAUACCCGAUGUGCCGAAAGGUGAAAGAUUUAUCGCCUAAGGAAGGGCUCGCGGCUGAUUAGCUAGUUGGUAAGGUAAAGGCUUACCAAGGCGACGAUCAGUAGCUGGUCUGAGAGGAUGAGCAGCCACACUGGGACUGAGACACGGCCCAGACUCCUACGGGAGGCAGCAGUGGGGAAUUUUCCGCAAUGGGCGAAAGCCUGACGGAGCAAUACCCCGUGUGGGAGGAAGGCUCUUGGGUUGUAAACCACUUUUCUCAGGGAAGAAUAGAUGACGGUACCUGAGGAAUAAGCAUCGGCUAACUCCGUGCCAGCAGCCGCGGUAAUACGGAGGAUGCAAGCGUUAUCCGGAAUCAUUGGGCGUAAAGCGUCCGCAGGUGGCCUAUCAAGUCUGCUGCCAAAGCGCAGAGCUCAACUCUGUAAAGGCAGUGGAAACUGAUAAGCUAGAGUACGGUAGGGGUAGCGGGAAUUCCCAGUGUAGCGGUGAAAUGCGUAGAUAUUGGGAAGAACAUCGGUGGCGAAGGCGCGCUACUGGGCCGAAACUGACACUGAGGGACGAAAGCUAGGGGAGCGAAAGGGAUUAGAUACCCCUGUAGUCCUAGCCGUAAACGAUGGAAACUAGGCGUGGCUUGUAUCGACCCGAGCCGUGCCGAAGCUAACGCGUUAAGUUUCCCGCCUGGGGAGUACGCACGCAAGUGUGAAACUCAAAGGAAUUGACGGGGGCCCGCACAAGCGGUGGAGUAUGUGGUUUAAUUCGAUGCAACGCGAAGAACCUUACCAAGGCUUGACAUGUCGCGAAUCCUGCUGAAAGGUGGGGGUGCCUUAGGGAGCGCGAACACAGGUGGUGCAUGGCUGUCGUCAGCUCGUGUCGUGAGAUGUUGGGUUAGUCCCGCAACGAGCGCAACCCUCGUUUUUAGUUGCCAGCAUUAAGUUGGGCACUCUAGAGAGACUGCCGGUGACAAACCGGAGGAAGGUGGGGAUGACGUCAAGUCAGCAUGCCCCUUACGUCUUGGGCAACACACGUACUACAAUGGUCGGGACAAAGAGCAGCGACCUCGCGAGAGUAAGCGAAUCUCAUCAAACCCGGCCUCAGUUCAGAUUGCAGGCUGCAACUCGCCUGCAUGAAGGAGGAAUCGCUAGUAAUCGCAGGUCAGCAUACUGCGGUGAAUUCGUUCCCGGGCCUUGUACACACCGCCCGUCACACCAUGGAAGCUGGCCACACCCGAAGUCGUUACCCUAACCUUUCGAGGAGGGGGACGCCGAAGGUAGGGCUGGUGACUGGGGUGAAGUCGUAACAAGGUA
rnacentral:rRNA from 1 species